UCUCCCUUCUUCUGCCCGAUCUAUCAACCCCCUUUGGAGCAAGAAUUGUUAGGGUUAGUGCGGCAGUGAGUUCCGAUCCAGGUGAUCAGUGGCGCAGCAGUGAGCUUCACCGGUGCUGUCCAUUCCUUCCUUUGGCAUGUCAGCUCGGCGCCGCUCCUCCUUUGUGCUCCCCCACCAUGCCUCCAUCCCUAAGGCUAAUCUGAUGGACAAACAAUGCAGUCAAGAACAUUCAAACAAGGGCGAUGCUUUCAGUAGGGUGGUGAAACCGAAUUUAGCAGAACCAAUGCAGCUUCAACUUCUACCCCCUGACAUUCUACGUGACAUACUGUCUUGGUUAUCUAUCAAGCAAUUCGUGCGGAUGAGCAUACUUUCUCG